rnacentral:lncRNA from 1 species
AAAUUGCCUGAUCUAGCCUGACUUUAACUAAAUGGUCAUGCUCUUGGCCGUUGAUUUAGGUGAAUUGAUCACCAAAAACGCACAAGUAAACAAGUCCACUAUAAAGAUGAAAUUUCUAAAAUCUUGAGAUGAGGUGUAACUAAUGGGAUUUCCCCCUUACUUUUCAUAGUCGUACAAAAUAGCGUUGGGAUCACCUAAAACCAACCAAAAAGUGUUUGUGUUAGUG